rnacentral:rRNA from 1 species
AUUGAACGCUGGCGGCAGGCUUAACACAUGCAAGUCGAGCGGGGAAGGGUAGCUUGCUACCUAACCUAGCGGCGGACGGGUGAGUAAUGCUUAGGAAUCUGCCUAUUAGUGGGGGACAACAUUCCGAAAGGAAUGCUAAUACCGCAUACGCCCUACGGGGGAAAGCAGGGGAUCUUCGGACCUUGCGCUAAUAGAUGAGCCUAAGUCAGAUGAGCUAGUUGGUGGGGUAAAGGCCUACCAAGGCGACGAUCUGUAGCGGGUCUGAGAGGAUGAUCCGCCACACUGGGACUGAGACACGGCCGAGACUCCUACGGGAGGCAGCAGUGGGGAAUAUUGGACAAUGGGCGAAAGACUCAUCCAGCCAUGCCGCGUGUGUGAAGAAGGCCUUUUGGUUGUAAAGCACUUUAAGCGAGGAGGAAGCUACCGAGAUUAAUACUCUUGGAUAGUGGACGUUACGCGCAGAAUAAGCACCGGCUAACUCUGUGCCAGCAGCCGCGGUAACAC